UGCCCAGCAACUCCUAUCCCUACCUCCUCGUGGUACUGGCCGAGGUACGAGAAAUCUUGGGGAAGAUCGGGUAACCAACCCCCGGUGGGAACUUUGGUCGUAUGCUGACAGGGAAGG
rnacentral:ribozyme from 1 species